rnacentral:rRNA from 2 species
UGAGGAAUAUUGGUCAAUGGGCGGAAGCCUGAACCAGCCAAGUAGCGUGCAGGAUGACGGCCCUAUGGGUUGUAAACUGCUUUUGAAGGGGAGUAAAGUGAGUGACUUGUCAUUCAUUGCAAGUACCCUUGGAAUAAGGACCGGCUAAUUCCGUGCCAGCAGCCGCGGUAAUACGGAAGGUCCGGGCGUUAUCCGGAUUUAUUGGGUUUAAAGGGAGCGUAGGCUGCCCGGCAAGCGUGCUGUGAAAUACAGUGGCCCAACCACUGGACUGCAGCGCGAACUGUCGGGCUUGAGGGCGCACGACGCAGGCGGAAUUUGUGGUGUAGCGGUGAAAUGCUUAGAUAUCACGAAGAACCCCGAUUGCGAAGGCAGCUUGCGGGAGCGCGACUGACGCUGAAGCUCGAAAGUGCGGGUAUCAAACAGGAUUAGAUACCCUGGUAGUCCGCACGGUAAACGAUGGAUGCCCGUUCUGCGGCCUUCGGGCCGCGGGACCAAGCGAAAGCAUUAAGCAUCCCACCUGGGGAGUACGCCGGCAACGGUG